rnacentral:rRNA from 1 species
CGUCUAGGCGGGCUAAUUAGUCAGAUGUGAAAUCCUCCGGCUCAACCGGAGAACUGCAUUUGAUACCGUUAGUCUUGAGUUCGGAAGAGGAAAGCGGAAUUCCUGGUGUAGCGGUGAAAUGCGUAGAUAUCAGGAAGAACACCGGUGGCGAAGGCGGCUUUCUGGUCCGAUACUGACGCUGAAGCGCGAAAGUGUGGGGAGCAAACAGGAUUAGAUACCCUGGUAGUCC